UACAGAUCGUAGAGUUUGAUCAUGGCUCAGAUUGAACGCUGGCGGCAUGCCUUACACAUGCAAGUCGAACGGCAGCGCGGGGCAACCUGGCGGCGAGUGGCGAACGGGUGAGUAAUAUAUCGGAACGUACCCUGGAGUGGGGGAUAACGUAGCGAGAGUUACGCUAAUACCGCAUACGAUCCAUGGAUGAAAGCAGGGGACCGCAAGGCCUUGUGCUCCAGGAGCGGCCGAUAUCUGAUUAGCUAGUUGGCGGGGUAAAAGCCCACCAAGGCAUCGAUCAGUAGCUGGUCUGAGAGGACGACCAGCCACACUGGAACUGAGACACGGUCCAGACUCCUACGGGAGGCAGCAGUGGGGAAUUUUGGACAAUGGGCGCAAGCCUGAUCCAGCAAUGCCGCGUGAGUGAAGAAGGCCUUCGGGUUGUAAAGCUCUUUUGUCAGGGAAGAAACGGGUGGGGCUAAUAUCCCUACCUAAUGACGGUACCUGAAGAAUAAGCACCGGCUAACUACGUGCCAG
rnacentral:rRNA from 1 species